CUUUCGGAGCGCCAGCACAGGUGCUGCAUGGCUGUCGUCAGCUCGUGUCGUGAGAUGUUGGGUUAAGUCCCGCAACGAGCGCAACUCUCGCUCCCAGUUGCCAGCGGUUCGGCCGGGGACUCUGGGGGGACUGCCGGCGUUAAGCCGGAGGAAGGUGGGGACGACGUCAAGUCAUCAUGGCCCUUACGUCCAGGGCGACACGCGUGCUACAAUGCCUGGUACAACGCGUCGCGAACUCGCAAGAGGGAGCCAAUCGCCAAAAGCCGGGCUAAGUUCGGAUUGUCGUCUGCAACUCGACGGCAUGAAGCCGGAAUCGCUAGUAAUCGCGGAUCAGCCACGCCGCGGUGAAUACGUUCCCGGGCCUUGUACACACCGCCCGUCACGCCAUGGAAGCCGGAGGGACCCGAAACCGGUGGGCCAACCGCAAGGGGGCAGCCGUCUAAGGUCAAGUCGGUGACUGGGGCG
rnacentral:rRNA from 1 species